UCCACCUGCCUUGGCCUCCCAAAGUGCUGGGAUUACAGGUGUGAGCCACUGCACCUGGCCAAUAAGCUUUGCUAAUUGCUCAAAUUGAGGCAACUGGGUCUCAGGGAGGGCAUGAGUGUUUUCACUUACCCAAGACAAUCUGAGACCCUAGAACCAGAACGAAGAGGCGUGGUUGGGCAGGAAAAGGACCUAUGACCUUCAGGGAGUGGAUUGGAGAGCCCAGGAAGGGAGGAGUUCCUGUUUUAGGUUUUCAGGCACAAUGACUCCCAUCUACUUGUGUGCUAAUGUCACCAAUAGGUCAUUCUCUCUAAAUUGGAGGGUCUGCUCCCCGGUGGGCACUUCCUCCUUAGUACUUGAGAAAGCCAAAGAGUUGGAGGAAGCUCCUGUUUUGUGAGUUGAGGCAGGAAUGUGGGAAGCAAAGGACUCCCCUCGCAGAGUUCUUUUCUGUGACUGUCUAAACAUGUAUAGGCAUUUGAAACAAAAACAGCAUCGUACUAUACACAGUGUUUUGCAGUCAUUUCAGGAUCGUGCUAUGCAUACUGUUUCAUAACGCCUUUUCAGUUACCAUAUCAACACUUUUCAUAUUGAAUUAUUUAGGACACAAUUUUAAAUGACUACAUAUUGCUUUUCGGUACAUAAUGUAUUUAGCCAAUUCAUGUUUCACUCUUAAGAACGCACUCGAACUUCUAAGUGGUUAAGAUUGCACAGGCAGCCCUCAUUAUUGCCUAAAGGCAAAUUAUUAAAAGUGGAAUCAUUGGUUCAAAUGGUGUGUAUUGAAAUGCCCUCCUGGAAAGGGGCCCCAAAUUAUAUGUAUCUUGAGGAACUAAGAUAACUGUGGCAUAAACCACAAAACAACGACUUAACAGAUGCACCAUAUAUUUUUCUGGCUUCUCUGAAGCCCUGAUGACUGCUGCGGUCUGGGGCCCCCAGUUUCAAAGGCUCCAGCACUAAUGUUGAGUUGUGCUGUCCCCAGCAGCUGACAACCUUGAGGCUGUCAGGAGGACUCUCCCCUGCCAUCGCUGGAUGCACUGAACUCCUGGCCCACCCUGUGGGCACUGCUGCCAGUGUAGUGCGGAAUCUCUGCCGUCUUCCGGAGUUGGCUUCGCUAAUAAGCCUCAGGACCCCAGGAGGAGGAGCUACUCGGAUUUAUCCACACAAUCGCUUCUGCCCAAGAAAAGCAGAAAAAUAGUGGCCUUUAACCAGGGUGGAUUUUGAACACUGGUACCAGUUAAAUACUCUCUAGAAAUCAAAAGCUCAGUUGUUCCAGGAGACUUUGUAUCUUUUUUCCUUCACCUCUCUCUUUCUCAACUUAAACAUGACCCCAAAAAGCACUGUGUAAGUCAUGAAGCAGAAGACAGUCAGAUUGCCAAGGUUAAUAUUUGUGUUUGGAAGCAUGGCCCCUGUCAAAUGGGCAGUAGCCCUCCAGCUGCCUCCAAGGUUUCUCUUAGCUAGUAUGUCGGCCAAAUAGUCCUGUUCUUCAUUCUUUUUUUUUUUUUUUUUUUUAACCUACUGAGAGGAGGCGAAGUGUCAUCACCAAAGAGACCAACUGUGCCUGAGGAGGCUGGGACAGCAGUGGGGUCAGUCCACUGGGUCCUGCUCACCAUCCCCAGCUGCCCCCCUCCAACCUCAAGCUGAGUUAGGAAAACCCAGCAGGUUUGGGGAAUCAGUGGAACUGAUGGGGCUGGCUCAGCAAACAAGCAUCCAGUGUUCCACUCACUCUGAUUCCAGUGCCAGCGGCCAUUCUCCAGAGACACUGACGGCUCUGUUCUAUAGGGUACCAGCCUUGCAUCACUCAGCUGGGAAAAGGUGUGUGCUAGACCUCCCUCCCUCCCCCAGUGUAGACAUGCCAGGGAGCAGGGCUGGAGCCUUGGUAUUGGAUACACCCAAAGGUGUUCAACUCAAGGAUACAACUCGAUUUUCCCCUAGUCACCCAUGGAGGUCAAGGAUGCUUAGAUUGGCUCCAGGAGGGAUGGAGGCACUACAGUAUUUGCCCUUCUCCAUUGCCUUGUGAGCUGGUUCCAGGGGCCUGGUGCUUGGAUGGGAUGUGGUCCUGCCAGCUAUUUGUGAACUCCAGCACCCAAAGGCCUUACAGGUCAGAAAAUGCAACUGACUUGGAGAAAAAAGUCAGCCAACAAAAUUCCCCACCUUCUGAUGACUGCUACUUAAAAAAAUCAAUAUGCAUACAAAUCAGGACUAAACAGAAGUAAAAAUAAUUGGGUCAGGGUAGAUGGACUGAGAAUGAUGAUUUUUAACUCUGUUUUCUUCAUUACCUACAAUGUGGUUACAUUGUCCUUCCAAUUUUUUUUUAAGGAACAUAAACACCAGUUUUAAGAGGUAGAAUCAGGCGGGUUGAUGUUUCUAGGCAUCCAGCCUAGUGAAUGUGUGUAAAUGUGCAUUAGCCUGGGGAGGUGGGGGAGGGAGCAGUUUCACUGGACACGCCCGCCUGUAUGAGGCUGGAUUUCCUUACAGGGAUCUGAGCUCAGCAGAGUCCGGGGAGACUGAGGGCCUUCGAUGUGCUUCAAGCCAGAGAAACCUUGGAGACUGGGGCCAAUUUCUGGGCCUGCCGUGGUCAUGAAUCAUGUCAGCUGCUGAGUGUGCUCAGUGGAGAGUGAACACACGGCCCACACAGAUGGAGAGGCGCUAGCACUGUGGGCAAGGGGAAAGGCAAGUUGGAAAUACAAGGCUCUUGGAGGACACGAGGAAGGCAAAGGAUGCUGGAGAACUUGGCCUCAGGGAACUUCCACCUCACCUUCAUAUUGACCCCAUGGGCUAAUCUCACAUUUUCUUUCCAGGAGACUCAAGUGAGGCUAGGAGAUCUUUGAGAGAAUAAAGAGAGCAUUCCAGAAAACCUCUCCUGGCUACGGAUAUCUUUACAGGCAGAUCUCUCUGUUAAAUCUUGAGAAUCUCUGGUUUUAGCUCUCUCUUUCCCAUGACGAUGAAGAUUCUCUCUCCCACCUCUUCCCUACCAACUUUCCAUCCCAUUAUGUAGACACCCUGCCUCCCCUUUGCCUCCAUUUACUUAAAUUAAUUGCAUGCUUUUACCAGGAUCUGAAAAGUCUAAUUCUAAGUGUUGUGUUGAAGGAAAACUUGCUUGACAAAUGGGAACUGCAGGUGAAAGAAAGGGGUUGAUGCUGUAAGGAGGUGGAUGCGCAAUUCCCUGAGUCCCGAGGGGGAGCUCCACAUCACAGGACAUGAGUGGGCCAUCUUUAAAUCUGAAGCACGUUCCUACUGAGGAAAGCAGGAACCACAGUGUGGGGCCCCAUCCAGCCGCCUCCAAGCGGUGGAACUGCAGCUCGCAGGGAGAAACGCAUAGAAAGGAAGUGGGUGGGUUUUAUUCCUUGUGCCUCUGUCUGGAUAUGGUGUGGGGAGUCUCCCUGGCUUUUGGAUUUGAAAACUUUCACAUGGGUGAGAACUGAACUCAGUAUUGUCUCCAGAGCCAAAAACCAAGUACCUGGAGAAUGAGGCCCAGUAGGGCCAUUUUCCAAGAGCCAAGCUGUGCCUCCCUCAGGGGCUGCUGAACGUCUGUUCUUCCUGAGUACUGGGUGAACCUGGCUGAGGUUUCUGGCCUCCAGACUUAUCUGGCCUCCUGCUGGACCUUAUUUAACACCUUCUGUGGGCGGAGAGAAUUGUAGGAGGAAUUUCUCAUUUUUCCCACUCACCCAGGAAUGCCACCGAGCGGGGCUCUGCCUGAGGUCAGACAGGCCGCAGAAGGGACAUUUUCUCCCACUCGCCAGGACGCAUCUCGGAGCCUUCUGCAUCGGAAUCAUGUUGUGGUAUUUCCUCAGGAGAAGGCUCCGUUCCCAGAGGCUCAGUCAGCAAAGUACAUGAGAGCAAGUGUUUUUGCUCUUUUUGGGACAUGUCUUCCUGUAUCUCUGCCAGUCACGAUCUCUUGUUUCUCCUUGUCCUGGCCCACAGUGGGUUUUUGGAAGCGGUGAGGAGUGACCGGAGCAGGAUAAGGACCCAUCCUCUACACACCCCCAUCUGGAGGCACCCUGUUGGGCCUGUGUGACCCCUCCUUGACCCAGUCCAGAAGGGAGGGUGUGAUUUCAUUGAAUGAGGCAUCCCAAGGCCCUUUGCAACCUUUUGUGUCUCUUAUAAAAUAAAUCUCCAAAUGUGCUAGCAGAGAAAACUUGAGCCCGACGUCAUCUGAGGGCUGGGAGUUCCGCUCAUUCGUCAGGCUGGGAUUGUCUCUGAUUAGCUGGUGAGGUGAACGUGCCCUGUCAUCCCUGGCCCGGCUGGGCAACCUGGCAGGUCAUGCCUGUGCGUCGUGCAAUUUUGGCUGUCAAGUAGCUCCAGGCACCUAAGACUGAAGACCAGGGUGGCCUCCUGUGCCCUGAGGCUGUCACCACCAGAUUUCAGAGCCUCUGACUACAAAGCAAUGCUCUCUUGUAGCUCAUCUUAAAACACAUGGCAGACAGAACUGAUUCGUUCUCCUCCAUGAAAGUAACAUCCUGGAAAUAGCUAAAAGUCAAAACAAACACAAAAACAAACAACCCACCCAGGCCUGCAAUAUGUGCCCCGCUGGAAAAACAAACUCUGUCUGGCUUUUUGGGCGGAGAAGCCUUGGGAAGGCCAGCCCACAUGUGUGGCUCCAGAAAACUGGCUGAGUAGCGUAAUCGACUGCUAAAGUGGCCACAGAGUCUUCCUAGGCUUGCACGUGACUUUGCAGCUGCUCGUAUCAAGGGGUGGAGUCUAGUUCCUCGCCUGCUAUACCUGGGCUGGCCUGGGAUUUGCUUUGACUAAUCAAAUGUGGCAGAAAUGAACAUGUGCCAGUUCUGAACUUAGGCUUCAAGGGGUGUUGGGCACUUUCUCUCACUCUGUUGUGACCACGAAGUGAACCACCAGCCCAGACUAGCCUGCGGGAGGAGGAGAACAUGUGCUAGUCAUCCUGCAGCACUGAUACCCAUCCAACUACCAGAUGUGUGACUGUGGCCAUCCUAGAACAGCCAGCCGCCAGCUGUUCCUCUGUUUCAUCACAGAUGCAUGAGAGAGCCUGGCCAGGCCAGCUCAGAUGAGAAGAACCAACCAACUCAUCUGUAGAAUUUUGAAAAAUGAUAAAAGUUUGUUGUUUCAAGUUGCUAAGGUUUGGGAUGGUUUAAUUCCAUAGGGUUACUCUGAGGAUCAUAUAAGAUAAGGCCACGUUACAAGUCCACAAGAAAUGUUAGUUGAAUCCUAUUACAGAGUUACAGAAUUGGAAGAGACCACUGAGAACAUAAAAAUAUGCCCCACUUUUUCAAGCUCACGUUUUCUCAUUUAGUCCCCAAAACUUCCUUGAAAUAUUGUGACUAUGUUACCCUCAUAUUACAGAAAAGAGGACUGAAUCCUAAGAAGUUAACUUGCCAAGGGUCAUGCCUACUAAGUGGUGAAACUAGAUGUGAAUUCAGCUCUGUGUGAUUCUAAAGGCCAUGUUCUUAACUAUUAGGAUAAAAACAUUGGUUCAUAUAUUUAAAAACCAUAUUUGUGGCAUAUUCGACCAAAUCGGUAAAAGAAAUGGAAAAGGAAAGACAAAAGUAUCUUUUUUCUAGAGGACUAGAAAAAGUUAGCAUGCUUAUUCUCUGGUACCACGAUAACAUUUGAUGACAUGAUUAUUCAAGUCCUACCUCUAGCAGAACUCUCUAUGCUCAGUCUGGGGUGACCUGCUUGAGAAAUGAAUUUUGAUCUCAAUGUGGUUGAUAGCUAUGCUGACUUUAGAACUGAGAGCUCCUGUCUACUCAUUCCCCAAGCUGUAGGUUUGCAUAUUUGCUAGAACUCACUGAAGAAGACUCAGCACAUAAUAUUACUGAAAGAGGAAAGUAUUUGUAGUCACAAUACUUGAAUUUAAGCCCCAACUACUUCUUGGGCAACUUAGUCUCUCUGUGCUACAUUUUUCUUACUUCCAAAAUGAGAAUUUAAUUAAUGAGAUAAUGAAAGCAAAGAUGCCAUGAUAAUAUAAUGUAUUAUUAUCAUUGUAAGAGUAAAUUCAUUACUGAAGUUGAUUUCAAUGGUAAAUUUGUAAUGUUUCAGAUUAAGCAAAAAGACAUGUAUUUGACCUUCUGCAAAAGCAAAAGACUUUGCAAUAAUUUAUUGUAUAUUUCAAAAUCACUAAGAGAGUGGAACUGGAAGGCUUAUAAACCUAAAACAUGAUAAAUAUUUAAGGUGAUGGUUAACCUAAUUACCCUGAUUUUAUAAUUAUACACUGUAUGCUUGUGUCAAAAUAUCAACUACUCCUCACAGAUAUGCACAUCUAUUAUAUAUCCACAAAAAUAAAAAGAUAACCAAAAGGUAAAUCUAAGCAAAAAAAAAAAAAAAAA